rnacentral:lncRNA from 1 species
UAGUGUUUUUAAAGUGUCUGGCACAUAGUAGGCAGUACUCAGGAAACUUGAGUUCCUUUCCGGCUUCCUUUUUAAGUCUCUUCCAGCUCUAAAACACUCUGGCCCCAAUCCAGUUCCUUUGUCAUCAAAAUCCAGUCCAUGGCUUAGAAAAAGCCCUAAUUCCCAAUCACUGCAGGAGCACACACACCUGAAUUGCUUCUUUCAGUUUUCCAAAUUGCCACUAAAACUUUCUUCCUGGGAAGUAUUUGCCCCAAUUCACCGUCUCUUAAAGUGUGUAGCCACAGUUUUUCUUCCCUGAUUCUACUUCAACUUCCCUUCCCCCCCGGCAGUGGCUGAGGGAAAUUUAGGGCAAAAGGGACUGCCCCAGGGCAGAACUCCUCUGAGCCUCUCAUUUCCGCUCCUCCAGGUGUUUCGCUGCAAGCCCAAGAUUUAGCAAGUGUUUCCCACGUAGGAAGAGCGCAGACCCGGCCCAUCUUCCAGGCUCUGGCUUUGGGAUUAGUGGGUCCAAAAAUAGGGUCCCCUGGGGGCUUGGUUUCUUGGUGGUUUCACUAAAAGGCGUGGAUGGCGGGCUGCUGCGAGGUGGUCCUUCUCGGGGAAGGGAGCUCCUUGUUCUGAACUCCUUAAUUCCAGGGAAGCUUCAGAUCCGCAGGUGUGAGAAAGAUGUACUUAGAAGCAGCGGUUUGGACCAAUUGAAAGCAAAAGAGGCUGGACUCCAGACAUGAAAUCAGCAUCAGGAUUUGGCGAAGAGAUGAAAGAGAAGUGAAUUUUGGAUUAAAGAAAUGACAGAGUCUAUCAGACCUCCAUGAUCCAGUAAGGUGCUACAUUUUGGUGACUUUGUUCCAUGAAGAGGAGCCACAAAAUGAUUUUGAGUAGAGGAGUAGGAUGUGGUCAGAUGCAGGCUUUAGUAUAAAGAAUGAACUGAGUGUAGAGGGAAAGAAACAGAUGAGAGGCAGAGACCCGUUUGGAGAACAGCAAUAGACUGUGCAAGAGAUGAAAGCAGUGACUGUGAAACGGGGGAGAGAUCUCAAGAGACAGCUCAUGAAUGGAACACCUAAACAUUGUCCAAAACAGAGGAACUCUUAAAACUUGAAAAGAUGGCUAAUGUUCAAGAUAUACCUUUUUUAAAGUAAACUUUUUAAUAAAGUAUAAUAUACACAUAAAAAGUGUACUAAUUAUGUGUCAGCUAAUGAAUUUUCACGAUCUGAGCACACUCAUGUUGCUAUUACCCAGUUCAAGAAACAGAGCAUUACCAGCAUCUUAAAAGCCUCCUUAAAGUCCCCUCCCAGUCAUUUAU